UACGGAGGGUGCGAGCGUUGUUCGGAAUCACUGGGCGUAAAGCGCGUGUAGGCGGCCUGCUAAGUCUGAUGUGAAAGCCCGAGGCUCACCCUCGGAAGUGCAUUGGAAACUGGCAGACUGGAGUCCCGGAGAGGAGGGUGGAAUUCCUGGUGUAGCGGUGAAAUGCGUAGAUAUCAGGAGGAACACCGGUGGCGAAGGCGGCCCUCUGGACGGUGACUGACGCUGAGACGCGAAAGCCAGGGGAGCAAACGGG
rnacentral:rRNA from 1 species